rnacentral:rRNA from 1 species
AUGACCUACGGGAGGCAGCAGUGAGGAAUAUUGGUCAAUGGUCGGGAGACUGAACCAGCCAAGCCGCGUGAGGGAUGAGGGUACAGAGUAUCGUAAACCUCUUUUGUCAGGGAACAAAGGCGGGGACGCGUCCCCGGAUGAGUGUACCUGAAGAAAAAGCAUCGGCUAACUCCGUGCCAGCAGCCGCGGUAAUACGGAGGAUGCGAGCGUUAUCCGGAUUUAUUGGGUUUAAAGGGUGCGCCGGCGGUCUGUUAAGUUAGCGGUCAAAACCCGGGGCUCAACCCCGGUCCGCCGUUGAAACUGGG